AGAGUUUGAUCAUGGCUCAGAACGAACGCUGGCGGCAUGCCUAACACAUGCAAGUCGAACGGGAUCCUGGCUUCGGGUCAGGUGAGAGUGGCGGACGGGUGAGUAACGCGUGGGAACCUGCCCAGUGGUGGGGGAUAACUGCGGGAAACUGCAGCUAAUACCGCAUGAGCCCGAGAGGGGAAAGAUUUAUCGCCAUUGGAGGGGCCCGCGUUCGAUUAGGUAGUUGGUGAGGUAACGGCUCACCAAGCCGACGAUCGAUAGCUGGUCUGAGAGGAUGAUCAGCCACACUGGGACUGAGAUACGGCCCAGACUCCUACGGGAGGCAGCAGUGGGGAAUAUUGGACAAUGGGGGCAACCCUGAUCCAGCAAUGCCGCGUGAGUGAUGAAGGCCUUCGGGUUGUAAAGCUCUUUUGCCAGGGACGAUGAUGACGGUACCUGGAGAAUAAGCCCCGGCUAACUUCGUG
rnacentral:rRNA from 1 species